rnacentral:lncRNA from 1 species
GAAGAGAGACGGAGUCGUGUCCUCUUGUCUUUUUUUUUUUCGCCGACUCUCCGGCAGGAUCAAGCUUCGGCCACCACCGAGACCAGCCGGUGAUGAAGGGGCCGACGGAUUAAAAAAAUAAUAAUAAUAAAAGAAAAGAAAAGGGAAGGGGCGGCGGUUCCCACCACCGUGCCCUCCUCCUCCUACCAUGAGGUGACCGCAAGGGGCUCCUCGUGCGCAGGCCACCGGGGAUCCUGCCGGUCCGGCGGCGACCAGGAGGAGCCGAAGGAGAGGCGGCGGUGAUUCCCGUCCCGAUCCGAGGAUCCAAACAACA